rnacentral:rRNA from 1 species
UACGUAGGUGGCAAGCGUUGUCCGGAUUUACUGGGCGUAAAGAGCUCGUAGGCGGCGUGUCACGUCGGCCGUGAAAACCUGCAGCUUAACUGUGGGCGUGCGGUCGAUACGGGCAUCACUGGAGUUCGGCAGGGGAGACUGGAAUUCCUGGUGUAGCGGUGAAAUGCGCAGAUAUCAGGAAGAACACCGGUGGCGAAGGCGGCUCUCUGGGCCUUACCUGACGCUGAGGAGCGAAAGCGUGGGUAGCGAACAGG